GACGAACGCUGGCGGCGUGCCUAAUACAUGCAAGUAGAACGCUGAAGGAGGAGCUUGCUCUUCUGGAUGAGUUGCGAACGGGUGAGUAACGCGUAGGUAACCUGCCUGGUAGCGGGGGAUAACUAUUGGAAACGAUAGCUAAUACCGCAUAACAGUAGAUGUUGCAUGACAUUUGCUUAAAAGGUGCAAUUGCAUCACUACCAGAUGGACCUGCGUUGUAUUAGCUAGUUGGUGGGGUAACGGCUCACCAAGGCGACGAUACAUAGCCGACCUGAGAGGGUGAUCGGCCACACUGGGACUGAGACACGGCCCAGACUCCUACGGGAGGCAGCAGUAGGGAAUCUUCGGCAAUGGAAGGAAGUCUGACCGAGCAACGCCGCGUGAGUGAAGAAGGUUUUCGGAUCGUAAAGCUCUGUUGUAAGAGAAGAACGAGUGUGAGAGUGGAAAGUUCACACUGUGACGGUAUCUUACCAGAAAGGGACGGCUAACUACGUG
rnacentral:rRNA from 1 species